rnacentral:rRNA from 1 species
UAAGCAAAUAGUGAAAUCGUGGGGCUCAACCUCAUAUACAUUAUUUGAACUGCUAAGCUUGAGGGCGAGAGAGGUUACUAGAAUUCCUUGUGUAGGAGUGAAAUCCGUAGAUAUAAGGAGGAAUACCGAUGGCGUAGGCAGGUAACUGGCUCGUCCCUGACACUAAGGCACGAAAGCGUGGGGAGCGACCGGGAUUAGAUACCCUGGUAGUCCACGCCGUAAACUAUGGAUGCUA